AUGCCCCCAGCAGCAGCAGUCGAUGAGCAGGGAGCAGAUUUGCAUGCUGUGGCCUUAGGGGUGUGUGAGAAGGGGAUAAGAGAGCGAUACUCUCUCCACCCCUCGGCCUUUCCCCCCUCCUUUCCUCCAUCCCAUUCUGGAUCAUUAACGAAUUUCCUCGUUCCAGGUUCCGGUGCGCAGCCCGUGCUGACCCAGACGGCCUCCAUGGACAAGUCGCUGGGAGCCACGGUCAAACUCACCUGCACCCUGAGCAGCAGCUACAGUAAUUACUAUGUCAUUUGGUACCAGCAGUUGCCUGGAAAAUCCCCGCGCUAUGUGAUGAAGGUCAACAGUGAUGGGUCCUACACCAAGGGGGACGGGAUCCCCAACCGGUUCAGUGGUUCCAGCUCCGGUGACAAUCGCUACUUGACCAUCAGCGGUGUCCAGUCAGAGGAUGAGGCCGACUAUUAUUGUGGGGAGAGUCAUACCAUUGAUGGUCAGAAGGGUUCUCACAGAGACACAGGCCAUUGGGGAAGUGAGACAAAAACCUUCCUGGCCCAGCAGCUGGCCCGACCCUGGCUACCUCCUCUUCUUCUCAUCCCCCCCGACCAGUCUCUCCUCUCCCUCGGCCUCAGCCUCUCCUGCUCCUGCCGUCCCUGCUCAGAAUCAAGUUCCUGAGGCAGGCUGCAUUCUGAUCUGUGUGGGAUGCUCCUCCCCAUCUUCUGUCCUCUCCCUACCCAUUCUGCCAGCCCAGGUGCCCUAUGCAACCCCUUCCCCAGGGUCCAGGGGUUCUAGCCUCUCUCUGGAGGGACGUGACAGAUUCCAUGGGUCCUGGGUCUCUGUCUCUGGCACUGUGCAUGGGGACA